rnacentral:rRNA from 1 species
GACGAACGCUGGCGGCGUGCUUAAUACAUGCAAGUCGAGCGAGGCCCAUCCAGUGGCAACACUGGGGAAGGCCGAGCGGCGAACGGGUGAGUAACACGUGAGCAACCUGCCCCGAAGUCUGGAAUAACAUCGGGAAACCGGUGCUAAUACCGGAUUGCCCCACCUGACCGCAUGAUCGGGUGAGGAAAGAUUUAUCGCUUCGGGAGGGGCUCGCGGCCUAUCAGCUAGNGGCGGGGUAACGGCCCACCAAGGCGUCGACGGGUAGCUGGUCUGAGAGGACGACCAGCCACACUGGGACUGAGACACGGCCCAGACUCCUACGGGAGGCAGCAGUAGGGAAUCUUGCGCAAUGGGCGAAAGCCUGACGCAGCAACGCCGCGUGGGGGA